rnacentral:lncRNA from 1 species
AUUGAUCAAAUGCUUUCACCUCAAAGCGAAGACCACCCACUGGAUAAUCCUUCAAGCACCGGUGUCAUAACUGCAGAACAGGAGCUCUUAGGAGAGAAUCAGGUUGAAGGGAGGGAACUGAGCAUCUCAGCUUCCAACAGUUCUGCUGAAGAUGGGUCCAGAGAAUUUGACAAAAUAAAAGCGAAUCAUGAUAAGAAAGAGGAUCCAGAAGAAGCGUGGGUUAAAGCAGAUAAUAUCACAACCCCAAAAGAAGAGAAAACAGUAUCAAAGGUGGGGAGCAAAUCUAACCAGCCAGUGUCCAAGAACUGGAGCAACCUGAAAAAACUAAUCCUCCUCAAGAGAUUCGUCAAGUCGUUGGAAAAAGUGAAGAAAUUCAACCCACGGGGGCCACGAUUCUUACCGUUGAAGCCUGACCCAGAAGCAGAAAAAAUUUGC